UACAGAGGUCCCAAGCGUUGUUCGGAUUCACUGGGCGUAAAGGGUGCGUAGGCGGUCGGGUAAGUCUGAUGUGAAAUCUCACAGCUUAACUGUGAAACUGCAUUGGAUACUAUCCGGCUCGAGGAAUGGAGGGGAGACUGGAAUACUUGGUGUAGCAGUGAAAUGCGUAGAUAUCAAGUGGAACACCAGUGGCGAAGGCAGAGUCUCGUCGGCGAUAUUGACGCUGAGGAGCGAAAGCGUGGGGAGCGAACAGG
rnacentral:rRNA from 1 species